ACGAACGCUGGCGGCGUGCUUCACACAUGCAAGUCGAACGGUGAAGGGGUCUGCUUUUGUGGGCCCUGGAUGAGUGGCGAACGGGUGAGUAACACGUGAGUAACCUGCCCCCUUCUUCUGGAUAACCGCAUGAAAGUGUGGCUAAUACGGGAUAUUCUGGGUCUGUCGCAUGAUGGGUCCGGGAAAGAUUGCGCCUUUGGGUGUUUUUGGUGGGGGAUGGGCUCGCGGCCUAUCAGCUUGUUGGUGGGGUGAUGGCCUACCAAGGCGGUGACGGGUAGCCGGGCUGAGAGGGUGGACGGUCACACUGGGACUGAGACACGGCCCAGACUCCUACGGGAGGCAGCAGUGGGGAAUAUUGCAAAAUGGGCGCAAGCCUGAUGCAGCGACGCCGCGUGAGGGAGGGAGGCCUUCGGGUUGUAAACCUCUUUCGCCAGUGAAGCAGGCCUGCUCCUUGUGGGUGGGUUGACGGUAGCUGGAGAAGAAGCGCCGGCUAACUACGUG
rnacentral:rRNA from 1 species